AAACCGUCAACACAUUCAAUAAAAUAAUAUAACUCAUCUGGACAAUCAGCUUCGAUUUUGCAAGGAAUGGAACCUGCAUUGAAAAUCAAGAAGAAAAAAAAAGGAAUGUUAGUAAAAGGUGACUUAAUAUUUUGUAUAAGAUAAAUUUAAAAAUUAUGUGAAAAAUGACAUACUUCUACUAGUUACAAGAAGAAAUAAAGAAAGAAAGGUGACAACAAAAUAUACAAACAUGAGAAUUUGAGUCAUAUUUUUUCUCCUUAACAUGAAAUUGCUAAAUUUCUUAUCACAAUAUAUAUAAGUAAAAAAAGUUAUGCUUUGUUAAUUUCAAUUAAACAGAUUUUAACCUUUAAGAGUUGCAAGAACCAAUUAUAACUUUAAGAGUUGCAAAACCAAUUAUACAAAUGAAAUUAAUGUUAAAUCUCUCGAAUCAAUAUGUUGUGUGUAUUCUCCUUUGCAUUAUUUUUUUAUUAAACUUCAUUACAUUUUUUUUUAUUUACAUUUUAACCUUUCGUAAUAGAUAAGGGAAAUCCCAACCGAAA
rnacentral:lncRNA from 1 species